UGCAUACCGCCUCCAUUGUUAACAGAACCUCAACCUAAGUUUUCUCUUGAACCUGUCUUUACAGAGUCCAAGAUGAUGGUCAAGUUUAUCAAUCCAAGAGCUGAUAUCUUCAAACAAGACAUUAUCAUCAUCAUUAUUCUGUCAUUGGCUGGGAACAGUGAACUGCAGCCACUGGAAACAGCAGGGCUCCAUGCCUGUGGACACUCAGAUUGAUAAAGCAAUAUUGCUACUCCUACUCAUCUUAAGGAUACAGAAGUCAACAUUCACGGGUAUUGAAGAGCCAUGCAGAUGCUGGGUGUCUUGCUGCUGGAGACAUUACUCCUGGAUUUGACAUCAGGUCCCCCUCAUUUUUAGUUGGAGCAGCAGAAGGCUAAAAUAAUCCAACAUGCAGCACAAUAGAUUAUUUUGUAUAAAUGCAGAAAAAGUGCAAAUAUAGCUGUCUGCAUUACUGCCAUCCUCUACUUUUAUGGGCCAAAUAAUGUUGUGCUGAAGAAAAGAUAAUAGUAGUCUUCCCAUCUCCAUAACUGUAGCUACUGAAAGUAGCCAAAAUAGAAGCCAUAGCAGGGUACCUGUGUUGCACAAUGCCCUAAACUCAGUCCAGCUUCCAUAUUCAUUUGCCAUGAUAUAAAUAUGGAGAAUUCCAUUGACUUUUGUUGACUUCACUGGAGGUAUUUUCAAGUUAAACCAGUGAGACAUCUGAAUCUGGU